AAUGAGAAAGAGAAACAGGCGUGUCCUUCGAGAGGUUUACCUUUCACUCCGAUGUAGGAGAGGGUGGGUGAGGGAUCAUUGAACUUCACAGUUCCAGUAGAAACGAUACUAAUUGCUAUUAAUGUUGUUUCUUCCACAAUGUUUUUUUAUAUCUUAAAACAACAGGUAUUCUUCGAAAAAAAAAAAAAACUAAGAAUGGGUGAAGGGGAUUAGAAACUGGGUUUAAGAAAAUCUUUUGUAUUGAUGAGUCCAAGUGAAAGAAGACCUAAGAAACUAUCUUUCAGAAAUGAUAUUUAGUUUUUCAUUUCACGUUUUAAAAAACAUUUUUCUCUUUCUCUCUCACGCAAGAGUGAAUUUUAACGAUUAAUCUCGUGGCUCGUAUCCAAUGAUCGUACGUGUCGAUAAAAAUAGCGAUGAAUUAAAUUCGUCGAAAUCGAGUUUAAAAAUUUCUGUGAUAUAAUCUAAAUCUGAGUGUGUUUGUUGUAUGUUGUACGAUUAAGAACGACAACGACAAAAUUAAAAAAGAAGUGGCUAUAAGCUUUUGCAACAAAAUUUCAACUUCUAUUCUAAAGAAAGAUAGAGUUUUCUGAGAUCUUUGUAAAAAUACACAAACGAAAUGAAAUAAUCGAUAAAUCAAUCGUCUCGGGUUGGUCCCUGGUUAUCCUAUACCGAUACCGGAUACGUAAAAAGAGAUCUUGCGGACCUUUUACGAUAUUGUAGAAAAAAAAGAAAGAAAAAAAAAUUCUCCCUCGGUUAGAAUUCUUUUUUCGAAUUGGCGCGUAUAUCUCAGCAGCCGUUUGGAACUUUAAAUUUAGACGGAGCGAAGGAAGAUUUCACUGAAGCUAUCUUUCUCUCUCUUACUCUCACACUCUCACACUCUCUCUCUCUUUUCGGCGUAUCUCAAGGUGCACGUAAUAGAGGAGAAAUAGCAUAAAAGCAACGAUUUGAGAACGAGCCGACUCCCCACGUUCAACCAAGUAAACUUAUCGUUGUAUCUCUAAACCUCGUCAGUUAUAAUAUACAUACCUGUGUACGUGUACAUAUCUAUGUUUGUAGUAAUAGUAGUAGUGGUGGGUAGCACUAGAAAACCGCUUCGUUUUUCAUUUUUCUUACAAAAUGGCGAACUAUAGCGCCAAUUCGCUACUUCAAGUCGAAUAUAUACCGAAAUAUCUUAAAAGUCAAAUCUUGUUAUACGUCAAUGUAUGUGCAUGUACAAAUACACAUGUGCUUGUGUGAAAUGAUAAUUAAAUAACGAAUUGAUUCGUACGUUGAAUCGUAUAUUUUCUAAGCUAAGAGGUGGUGACGGGGUGGUGGGAGGAACUUGGCACAUUGGAUCCGCCAUUGUUACGGGCGUUUGUUCGUUCGUUCGUUAGAAUUCAGUCUCGUUGUUGAGAAUAAAUUAAUGCUCGCUUUGUCCACCCCCUUUCCUCUACCCACCUACCCAAUGGUUUUCAUUCUUUUUACUCUAUUUUCGCGCGUGCAUGAAUUCUCCUUUCUUUUACCUUUCUGUGCUUGUUUCUUUCAACCCUCCCCUUCUACUCCUCCUCCUCCACAAACCUGGCCAGUUUGCUUGACGUUUGCUGUCUUUUAGCUUUGGCUUUUUGUAUAAAUUUGUUCGAUGAUGAAAUACAAUCGGAAAGGAAUAUAAUCCACUCCGUAUGUUUGUGUUUGUGUGUUGGGGAAAAAUCUGAAGAAAAAAAAGUAACUUCGUCCGUGUCAAUCCACAAGUGUGUUGGUCGAGGGUGUGUCUUUUUCCGCUUUGCUGCCGCUUAAGUAGAGUUCGCCAGCAAAGGGGAACAGGCCGACCCUCCCCCGCAUUAUUAAAAAAAAAAAAAAAUAGUGGAUUACUUCGUUCUUUUUGUUUUCUUGUAUUUUUUAUUUAUUUCCUCUUUUCUUUUGUCCCCUUCCCUCCUCCCUGUUUUCUCUUCUUCAAAGGACCAAUUGGGUGAACUGAACAAAAGGGAUGAUAUUUAAUUAAUUAUGGAGCAAAAUAUUAUGUUGCACUUAAAAAAAUGACAAGAGAGAGAAAGAGAGUAUCUCAUAUCCAAUAAUUGAUAGCUCAUGGUCUGGCUCGUUACACGUGACACGACUCUAAGCAGUCCUUUCGUAACGGGAGUGUGUGUUCUAACGUUAACGAUGAGUUGGGCGUGACGAGACGUAAUCUCUCGGUUAGAGUCUUGACGUUUGAUUGGCAAAGCAAACAGUGAGGAUACAUUCGUAUGCGUGGGUGUACAAAUAUCCACAGUAAGAUCUAUGCGUUAAGAAAUCUUCUUCAAUCUUAAUCGGUCGAAGAAGGGGAUCUUAACUUUAACAAAAAAAUAGUAUUAUAUUAAAUCAAAUAAACGACCAUUUACAAAUAUUUAUUUUCAGCGUAUAAAAUUUAUUAUAAAUGAAUAUAUAAUAAGCGUGUUUGCGUGUGUGCGAGUAUGAUAAAAAUAAAAAAAAUGUUCAAUAAGAAGAUGAUGGUGAAAAGGACGUAUCAUAAAUCAUAUGAAGAUCUUCAAGAUCAUCGGGAUCAUCGUUCUGCGUCACACAUCUCUUAAACCCACGCAAACAAUUUUCUGGUAAGGAAAGUUGAAGGAAGAUAAAAUGUCAACUAAACCAGGAAGAGAAUCCUACCAGAGUGGAAAUGAAAUGUAAGAAAUCCGUAUCAUUGCUGACAGAUUGUCAUAGAAAAUUAUUUAAAUCCUAACAAAGGUAGCACGCGUGCAUCCACAAUU